UUUUUUUUUUUACCUUUUUACCAUUCACAAAAAAAAUCAAUUCAUCGGCAGGUUUCUCUAAGUCCAUGUUGAGCAAAUGGUCACAGAUUCCGCAGAUGAAAACGUCCUUUGCUCUACACUAGCUUUUGAGGCACUAAAAUGUUUCCAGGCCAAUGUCUGAUCAUCAAUAAUUCAGCAGAGAGUAAGAUUUGAGCUAAUAAGUGAACAAGUUUGGAUUCUGUAAUAACUGUUGGGGAGGGAGGUAUAACCCAGCCCUUUCUAAAUCCA